rnacentral:ncRNA from 1 species
CCCGAGUAGCACCGGGCCCGUGAAAUCUGGUGUGAAUCUGUCGGGACCACCCGAUAAGCCUGAAUACUCCCUGGUGACCGAUAGCGGACUAGUACCGUGAGGGAAAGGUGAAAAGUACCCCGGGAGGGGAGUGAAAUAGUACCUGAAACCGUGCGCUUACAAUCCGUCAGAGCCUGUGCUGCCUUUUCGGUGGGUGGGUGAUGGCGUGCCUUUUGAAGAAUGAGCCUGCGAGUUAGUGGCAUGUCGCGAGGUUAACCCGUGUGGGGGAGUCGUAGCGAAAGCGAGUCCGAAUAGGGCGCGUGUAGUGGCAUGUUCUAGACCCGAAGCGGAGUGAUCUACCCAUGGCCAGGGUGAAGCGACGGUAAGACGUCGUGGAGGCCCGAACCCACUUAGGUUGAAAACUGAGGGGAUGAGUUGUGGGUAGGGGUGAAAGGCCAAUCAAACUCCGUGAUAGCUGGUUCUCCCCGAAAUGCAUUUAGGUGCAGCGUCACGUGUUUCACUCUGGAGGUAGAGCUACUGGAUGGUCUAGGGGGCCCACAAGCUUACCGAAAUCAGCCAAACUCCGAAUGCCAGGGUGUGAGAGCGUGGCAGUGAGACUGCGGGGGAUAAGCUUCGUAGUCGAGAGGGAAACAGCCCAGAUCGCCGGCUAAGGCCCCUAAGCGUGUACUAAGUGGAAAAGGAUGUGGAGUCGCUGAGACAACCAGGAGGUUGGCUUAGAAGCAGCCACCCUUGAAAGAGUGCGUAAUAGCUCACUGGUCAAGUGAUUCUGCGCCGACAAUGUAGCGGGGCUCAAGUACACCGCCGAAGCCGCGGCACUCCAAC